rnacentral:ncRNA from 1 species
CAUCAAAAACCAAGUCUCUAAGCAAUGGAUGUCUUGGCUCCUCACACGAUGAAGAACGUGGCAUAAUGUGUUAAGUAACCGGAGUUGCAAACAUCAUGACAGGUUAAUCUUUGAAUGCAAAUUGCGCUAAACUCGAUCUCGGUCGAGAAGCAUGGGUGUGACAGUACUACAUCUUUUAUAAUAAUUCUUAUUCUAAGCGAAUAAGUAAAUAAUAUAUAAGACAAACAACACGUAGUCUGCCAUACGCAGGAAGACCCGCUGAACUGAAGCAUCUCAUUAAGCGGAGGAAAAGAAACUAACUAGGAUUCCCUUAGUAAAGGCGAUCGAAAAGGGAACAGCCCAACGUCUUAAUCCCGCAAGGGAAAUGUAGUCGGUUCACCUAUUGCACUG